rnacentral:rRNA from 1 species
UUCGGGGGUGCUCGAGUGGCGAACGGGUGAGUAACACGUGGGUGAUCUGCCUCGUACUCUGGGAUAAGCCUGGGAAACUGGGUCUAAUACUGGAUAGGACCGCACUUUAGUGUGUGUGGUGGAAAGUUUUUUCGGUACGAGAUGAGCCCGCGGCCUAUCAGCUUGUUGGUGGGGUAAUGGCCUACCAAGGCGUCGACGGGUAGCCGGCCUGAGAGGGUGGACGGCCACAUUGGGACUGAGAUACGGCCCAGACUCCUACGGGAGGCAGCAGUGGGGAAUAUUGCACAAUGGGCGCAAGCCUGAUGCAGCGACGCCGCGUGAGGGAUGACGGCCUUCGGGUUGUAAACCUCUUUCGACAGGGACGAAGCUUUUUGUGACGGUACCUGUAUAAGAAGCACCGGCUAACUACGUGCCAGCAGCCGCGGUAAUACGUAGGGUGCGAGCGUUGUCCGGAAUUACUGGGCGUAAAGAGCUCGUAGGUGGUUUGUCGCGUCGUCUGUGAAAUUCCGGGGCUUAACUCCGGGCGUGCAGGCGAUACGGGCAUAACUUGAGUGCUGUAGGGGAGACUGGAAUUCCUGGUGUAGCGGUGGAAUGCGCAGAUAUCAGGAGGAACACCGAUGGCGAAGGCAGGUCUCUGGGCAGUAACUGACGCUGAGGAGCGAAAGCAUGGGGAGCGAACAGGAUUAGAUACCCUGGUAGUCCAUGCCGUAAACGGUGGGCGCUAGGUGUGAGGGUCUUCCACGACU